GCUGCAUGACCAGGUUGUGGAUUUUCAAAGAAAAAGCAAAAUGAGGGCAGCAGCUGACCACCUUUGUAUUCUGGAAAUGUAGAGAUUAGUCUCUAAUGUUGCUUUCUUUGGCUGACACAUUCGGGUUAAAUCUGCAGUUACAAGGAAGAUGGACAACAGUUGUGGACAUGGUGGAAAAACUUGAGGCCUUUACUAGGAAGCAAAGGGACCAGGCCGCAGCAUUGCCACAGAGGUGAUGGAAGAUUUCAUCAAGCAGCUACAGCAUACCCAAGGAUAUCAUUGCGUUUGUACGUGAUCAUUUCACAGUCCGCCCAGGUGGAGAAUUCUCCUCCCUUGCUAAGAAAACAAACCUCACCCUCCCUGGAUGAGGCCGCAAUUCAAACUGAGCUGAAUGAAUUCCAGACGUCGAGCCAAAUCAGCGAUGCGCUCAGGAGUGCCGAGUCCUUGUUUACGUUUUGGGUGGCAUUAUCAGAGGAAAAGAGCACAAUAAUGAAACUUGCCUUUACACGUGCUAACAAUGUUUGCAUCGACUUACACCUGUGAGUCCUCCUUUUCCUCUAUGAACACAAUCAAGAUUCAUAACAGGAACCGGCUUUCAAAUAAGUCAAUCGAGGACUGCCUUCCUCUCACCUGACAUCCACAAGAUCAUGCCCGAGAGGAAAUGCACCUUUUCCCAUGAAGACCUGAGCCCUACGACCAUGCCUCAGCGGUAGAGAUACUCUGAAUGAUCAGCUAUGAAAAGCCAACUGCCAUUUACUCCUGAGUGUUCAUUUAUUUAAUAAAGAAGAAAAUGACCAUUCACGUACCCGCUGCAUUUUGGUCCAA
rnacentral:lncRNA from 1 species